GUAGGUGAACCUGCUGCGGAAGGAUCAUUAACACGUAUCCAAACGUAAAACCCCCCGUGAAUGUUAAACGCUGCUCUCCAUGCGCCUGGGGAUAUUUCAUUGUGAGGAGGCUGGCUGGCGGCCGGUUCUCGGCUUCAGUGCGGGCCCACCCGAUGGAUGCGGCUCCCCCGCCUAAACGAGCGGUUCGCAAGGAUCCCCUGUUCCUUUGUCUAUCAGCGGCAAGGUGAUAGUGGGCUGUCUGAUCGUAUCA
rnacentral:misc_RNA from 1 species